CACGGAGCAGAAGACUUGUCUCUUGGCGAGGGACGGGCGCCGCUGACCCAGCACGUCCAGGACCAGUCCGUCGGCGGCCCCCACGCGGGUCCUGGGCUCCAGCUCUUCGCCGGGGGGCGCCUCCUGCUGUUCAUCCCCUCCCUCUUUUCGAUCCCCAGCUUCCUCCUCUUCCUCCUCCAGCUCCAACUGCAGUGGCAAGGUCUGGGGAUUGAGAGGCCCGGCAUGACUAAGAGAUAUCGUGAAAUUACAACUCAACAAUGAAUUACAGCACAGGCUUUUCACAACUAAGAGACUGUCCAUCAUGGUGCCAGUUUUUCUCAAAAUGGCAUGUGUGCAUGAAAUUCUACAGGCAUAUGGGGUCGUGAUCUGCUAAUCUCCAGUUAUUAUAACUACUUUGAAAAGGGACUUUCCAGCUAUCAGUACACUAUCUCACAAUUACCCUUGAACCAGAAGACAAUGAAUGAUUUGCUAAACAGAUGGCAUAGUCUAUGACAUGCAUCAUAUGUGUGAGCAAUCACAGAAGACUCCUUCCUGUUGCCUUGUGAAGAAGGCUCCUGCUUCCCCUUCACCUUCUGCGCGAUUGUAAGUUUCCUGAGGCCUCCUAGCCAUGCUUCUUGUUCACUCUGCGGAACUGUCCUGAGCUGAAAAGAAUAUGAGAAAUCGGAUUUUACGACAUACCAAAUUAUGAUUGUAUGUCCCAGAAAUUCACUUAGAAGCUAAUAGAAAAAAUGAAACCAAAGCCUUUUGAGAGUUGAAAAUUUAUCAUGACAUAUGCUGGCUGCACAGUCAAAACUUAUCACUGCCCACGACUUCGGAAGCAUGACAGGAGAGCUGUGGGAGCCACUUCCUCGUCAGACGUGGUUUGAUAUGUCAAGUGAGAACCUGAGUAAAGCAAAGAGGUGAACUAUGACUUGGAAUCCUCCAGGCUUUGGCUUCCAUCACACUCCAUGAACUUGAUGCACAUAAUUUAAUAAACUGCUGAUGCUGACCUGUGCCUCAAGAGGCUUGCCUGUUUGGGGGAGAAGCCUGAUGUGGAGACCAUUGGAAGAGGCUAAGGCAAGCUACCUGUUCCUUAAACAGAUUGUUCAACCUAUUCCAGUUUUUGGUCCUCUACCUCACACAUUCCUUCCACUUCCAAAUCCUGUUGUUAGAGGAUGUUACCUGCCAAAUUUGUACUUUGGAAUCCUCCUCUGCAUGUUCAUAAGUUUUUGGGUUUUCCUUUCUGCUCACUUGCCAAUCCUCUAUCUACUUUCAAUCUUCUAAAAAUUGCUGAAACUUCUUGUCUCACUGUUAAUUCUUUAACAUCAAUUUGUUGGUAUUUUAGGAUAAAAUAUAAGUAAGUGUAUAUCUUCAACCAGCUAUCAUUAAAUGGAAAAUUUCUGGUAUUAUUUUAUACUUUCAUCUAUUUUCCUGUAGACAUUUAAACAAGAAGUCUCUGUGUGUAUGUGCACAUAUUCAAUGUUUUAACUACAAAAUAUAAAUUUCUUCUUGUAAAACAGACAACAUAAGGGUUUUCUUGAAGUCCCCUUUUAAAUAUAACAGGAAUUCCUCAGUGUGAUCUGUG
rnacentral:lncRNA from 1 species